GCAGCCGUUCCAGGGAUCACCUCGUAGACGUACACUCCUGAACUGACAUCUGGGAAAUCGGUCUCCCUCUCUUUCAGGAGUCUGCGAGGAACUGCCGUAUCCGGUCCGAGGGAAUUGCAAAUGAUAUUCCUGCCGUGACCUUCAGCGUGUUUAUGCCGAUGACGUCUCCAUCCUUGAAACACAAAACGGACAGCAUAAUAGCCAAAUAGCAUCAGAUGAAUGAACGGUAUGGCCUUGGGAAACAUAAAGGCCACCCCGGACCACUUGUUUGAGACGUGCGAUCCCAAAUUACACCGCUACGGAAAGUUCUUUCCAUUUUAAUCAGAAAACAGAAAUAGAACAACCUGUUACCUUGGGCUUGAGCAUUUUAAACUGAUGGAUGCAUCAACGAAAUGCAGCAGUAUGAAAAAUGUGAUUCAUUAAGGGCGCAUAAUGAUAGUGUCGUUCUGGCCUUAGCCUGGUUUUUCAGACAGCCGUGUCAUUUGGACUUAUGUACCCCUGCUGCUUUAUUCUAAUAAAUGACUCCGUGUGUGAGGACAUUUUAAAGCCCUUAUUAGUGGCGUUAGGUGUGUUAAUUCUUUCAAAUGUGGUUCGAGAUGUGAGAAACAUAUAUGGCUAUCACAUUCAAGUACACCAUCCACCUCACAAAAACAAAAUGAAUCCCUCUUGCGCAUCCUGUUUGACAUUCAGCAUUAACAGUGUUAUGUGAUAUCACUGUAUAUAUUUCAUACCACAGCACAGUUGAAUUCUUGAAUGUAAUUGGUCAGAAGGUAUUGAUUAAUUGUCCUUAAUAGCAGCCAUGAUAGUAGUGCAGUUUCAUAUGAAUGCACUCGUUCAUAAAAUGUUAUCAUUUCUAUAGUAACAGCUAACAAGCAGGCACUUGUAAGGUGGACGCUCCACAUAAUUGGAUUAAAAAAAUCAUGUUAUUUCACAAACACACACACACACAAAAACUUUGAAGGAAAAUUGUUGAAGGAAAUUGUGAAGAUUUAUGGAAGGAGUCUCCAGUGUCACCGCUUUGUAACAGUCGGUUUUCGGUAACAUGACAAGCUGCAUUUUUGUUGUUGUUGUUGUUGUUGUUGUUGUAUUAACUUCAAGAGAAAAAAAGAGAGGCUGGUGAAGAAACGUCUGUUUAUGGCUGCUAUAACAUAAGUGUUAAUAUCUGUUAACUAACGCGUUUACUUCAAAUGUAACUAUAAAUGGAUAAAAAGUACAAUAUGUCAUUAAUACAAAAUAAAAAAAACCCCAAAUAUCUGGUAAAUUGCUUUGGAAUAAACCCCUUUGUAAUGUGCUGUUAUUGUUUGGGUUGCAUUGCUACAUUGAUUAUUUACUCAGUACAGACCAUGUGGCCAAAUUAAAUCUGAACUCUGCUCUAGGUUAUUUGUUUCCAGACCAAAAGACAAACCGAACCAUGAACAUCAGAAUAAACACAUCAUAAGUAAUAUUAUCAAAAGUAAUACAGUAAGUUAAUUGGUGUUUAGUUAAGAGUUAAUGUAAUACACCAUCAUUGACUCCAUGAUCAAUCCAAGACUAAAAAUAUCCUCAUAAAUGAGCAAAAAGGAACACUGUUGAUGAUAAAAAGGUGAUAACUUACUGAACUCUGGUCUCUAGGUUUCAAAAUGAAAAGUUUCAACCUCAGACAACAACCAAAAACAUGUUCACUAAUGUGUUGUUCAUGUUGGUCAUCAUAGCUUUGAUUUUACUUACGAUCAGUCCAUCUCAAUCGGUCCAAUAAUUGUAAAGUUAGUUGCUUUUACCGUUUUUUAAUUUUUCUAAUUUAUUUUCAGUGAUUACCUCUAUGUACACAAAAUUUUUUACAGAAGAAUGCUACUAUAGAGGACCUAUUUCUGUGAAAAUUUCAGGUUUGUAUCUUGUUCCUUACCAGAGAUAUUCAACCCAAGAUAAGGUGUUUUAUUUAUUUAUUUUUAAUUGCACUUUCUUGCUCCCAUAAAAAAUAAAAAAGAGAAAGUCUUAAACCUGAAAUGUUCUCCAUGCACAGUAUACUUACAAAGUAUUUUGCACUGUAUUCUUUUUUAUUAUUAUUAUUAUUUUUUUUUAUAGUAAAUUAACCAAUGUUCAUACAAUCACCAAGGGGUCAUUCCAUCUCAAGUGGUCCAAUGCAGGUGGCUUUACUUUUUUUUUUUUUUUUUUAAAUGUUUCUUUUUUUUAUUGAUGUAUUGGCAUUGCAAAACCUUUUUUUGACAGCUACUGUAUCUUUUUGUCAUGGCACACAACAAAUUUUGGUUAUACAGCUGUUUACAGAAACCUCAAUAUCUUGGCUCAGGAUGGUCCUAGCUCCUUGGAACAAAACUGAACUCUAGAGCACAUUAUAAGGUACAUGUACAUAUAUAAACAUUUUGCACAUUAUUGUUCCUUAGAACAAUACAACUUAAGUUCUAAUGUAAUGCUCAAGAUUACUCACAGUUCCAAUUUUAUGGUCAGUUCAUAAUGGGAUGGGUUCGAGUCUCAGUCUUAUUUUUUUAAGGGGGUACCUGGAUUAAUUUUAGUGAUGGUUACUAUCACUGAAGUUCAUGGUUUGUUUAUUUUAAGCAUAUUAAAUAAUGUCAGGUAAGGCAACCCUAAUGUAAAGUGUUACCAAUAAAUUUCCUUCUAACACAAUCUGGCAACCCUAGUAGAUUUUGUAAUGCAUUGGGGUGUUUGACAGUACUGUACUGCUGUUUCAUUCUUCAGAAAAGUAGCUACAACUGAUAUGCAGAUAUGUUGGUGAUCUUUGGUUAAAAAUGUAUGUGUUUAUCAUCCAACUGCUUAAAAAUACAGUACUCUCAGUGUACUCAACAUCCUUCAAAAUUGGGAUAUGUUAAAUUUUUU